AGUGAACGCUGGCGGUAGGCCUAACACAUGCAAGUCGAACGGCAGCACAGGAGAGCUUGCUCUCUGGGUGGCGAGUGGCGGACGGGUGAGGAAUACAUCGGAAUCUACUCUGUCGUGAGGGAUAACGUAGGGAAACUUACGCUAAUACCGCAUACGACCUACGGGAGAAAGCAGGGGACCUUCGGGCCUGGCGCGAUUGAAUGAGCCGAUGUCGGAUUAGCUAGUUGGCGGGGUAAAGGCCCACCAAGGCGACGAUCCGUAGCUGGUCUGAGAGGAUGAUCAGCCACACUGGAACUGAGACACGGUCCAGACUCCUACGGGAGGCAGCAGUGGGGAAUAUUGGACAAUGGGCGCAAGCCUGAUCCAGCCAUACCGCGUGGGUGAAGAAGGCCUUCGGGUUGUAAAGCCCUUUUGUUGGGAAAGAAAUCCAGCUGGCUAAUACCCGGUUGGGAUGACGGUACCCAAAGAACAAGCACCGGCUAACUUCGUGCCAGCCGCCGCCGUAA
rnacentral:rRNA from 1 species